rnacentral:rRNA from 1 species
GUGCCAGCAGCCGCGGUAAUACGGAGGGUGCAAGCGUUGUUCGGAAUUACUGGGCGUAAAGGGCGCGUAGGCGGUUUGAUAAGUCAGAUGUGAAAGCCCACGGCUUAACCGUGGAAGUGCAUUUGAAACUGUCAGACUUGAGUACCAGAGGGGAAAGUGGAAUUCCCGGUGUAGAGGUGAAAUUCGUAGAUAUCGGGAGGAAUACCGGUGGCGAAGGCGACUUUCUGGCUGGAUACUGACGCUGAGGCGCGAAAGCUGGGGAGCAAACAGGAUUAGAUACCCUGGUAGUCCACGCUGUAAACGAUGUCAACUAGAUGUAGGGGGUGUUGAUCCCUUCUGUGUCGCGGCUAACGCAUUAAGUUGACCGCCUGGGGAGUACGGUCGCAAGAUUAAAACUCAAAGGAAUU